CGCGGGGUGGAGCAGUUGGCAGCUCGUUGGGCUCAUAACCCAAAGGUCACAGGUUCGAGUCCUGUCCCCGCUACUA
rnacentral:tRNA from 2 species